rnacentral:rRNA from 1 species
UACGGAGGGUGCGAGCGUUGUCCGGAAUCACUGGGCGUAAAGGGCGCGUAGGUGGCGCAGGAAGUCAACGGUGAAAGUUCGGGGCUCAACCCUGAAUCGGCCGUCGAUACUCCUGGGCUCGAGCACUGUAGAGGGCAGAUGGAAUUCCGGGUGUAGCGGUGGAAUGCGUAGAGAUCCGGAAGAACACCGGUGGCGAAGGCGGUCUGC